rfam:TPA: Bos taurus chromosome 13, whole genome shotgun sequence.
UCCCUGGUGGUCCAGUGGUUAAGACACUAUGCUUCCAUUGUACGGGGAGCAGGUUCAAUCCCUGGUCAGGGAA